rnacentral:rRNA from 1 species
UACAGAGGUCUCAAGCGUUGUUCGGAUUCAUUGGGCGUAAAGGGUGCGUAGGCGGCGCGGUAAGUCGGGUGUGAAAUCUCGGAGCUUAACUCCGAAACUGCAUUCGAUACUGCCGUGCUUGAGGACUGGAGAGGAGACUGGAAUUUACGGUGUAGCGGUGAAAUGCGUAGAUAUCAGGAGGAACACCGGUGGCGAAGGCGGAUCUCUGGGCCUGUCCUGACGCUCAGGCGCGAAAGCUAGGGGAGCAAACAGG